UACGUAGGGUGCAAGCGUUGUUCGGAAUUACUGGGCGUAAAGGGCGCGUAGGCGGCUCGGAAAGUCAGAUGUGAAAUCCCGCAGCUCAACUGCGGAACUGCGUCUGAAACUAUCGAGCUAGAGUACGGGAGAGGAUAGCGGAAUUCCGAGUGUAGAGGUGAAAUUCGUAGAUAUUCGGAGGAACACCGGUGGCGAAGGCGGCUAUCUGGACCGAUACUGACGCUGAGGCGCGAAAGCGUGGGGAGCAAACAGGAUUAGAUACCCUGGUAGUCCACGCGGUAAACGAUGAGUGCUAGGUGUCGCGGGUAUUGACCCCUGCGGCACCGCAGCUAACGCAUUAAGCACUCCGCCUGGGGAGUACGGCCGCAAGGUUA
rnacentral:rRNA from 1 species